CUGACCUCAAAUCAGGU
rnacentral:rRNA from 3 species